GACGAACGCUGGCGGCGUGCUUAACACAUGCAAGUCGAACGGAAAGGCCCUGCUUUUGUGGGGUGCUCGAGUGGCGAACGGGUGAGUAACACGUGAGUAACCUGCCCUUGACUUUGGGAUAACUUCAGGAAACUGGGGCUAAUACCGGAUAGGAGCUCCUGCUGCAUGGUGGGGGUUGGAAAGUUUCGGCGGUUGGGGAUGGACUCGCGGCUUAUCAGCUUGUUGGUGGGGUAGUGGCUUACCAAGGCUUUGACGGGUAGCCGGCCUGAGAGGGUGACCGGCCACAUUGGGACUGAGAGACGGCCCAGACUCCUACGGGAGGCAGCAGUGGGGAAUAUUGCACAAUGGGCGGAAGCCUGAUGCAGCAACGCCGCGUGCGGGAUGACGGCCUUCGGGUUGUAAACCGCUUUCGCCUGUGACGAAGCGUGAGUUACGGUAAUGGGUAAAGAAGCACCGGCUAACUACGUG
rnacentral:rRNA from 1 species